rfam:Aspergillus oryzae RIB40 DNA, chromosome 1.
GGUUGUGUAGUGUAGUGGUUAUCACUUUGGAUUUUGAUAUCAUAUUAAUUUCCAAUAACCCCGGUUCGAACCCGGGCACGACCU